GGGGGCGUAGUUCAGUUGGUUAGAAUGCCGGCCUGUCACGCCGGAGGUCGCGGGUUCGAGCCCCGUCGCUCCCGCCA
rnacentral:tRNA from 1 species